UUUUGCUACUAGCUUUUGGUAUAUUUCUUGACUGGAUUUUGGUGCAUUUUGCAACCGGUUUGAAUGGAUUAAUAUGAUUAAUUUGGUCAAUUCUAAAUUGAUUGCUAUUUUUGGGCUUAAAAUUGAGUUUUGCUUUUGUAGGUUUUUGAAAUAUGGGAACUAGCAAAACGGAAGUAAAUUUAAGAAGAUUACUUGCUGCUGCACCUAAACAGCAGAACCAAGGAAAGCUUGUUCAUGUAUUCUUUUUCAACUCUCAACUUCUGUAGUUUUUGUUUUUGGUAAUGGGUGUGUGAUUAAAUGGGUUUAAGUUUGGAAUUAGCAUCAUUUUUUGUCCCUUUUUUCUAUCGUUAGCCAAUCUUUUUGCGGUUUCUGUAACUCAACUAAGUUAAAUUUUAUUUAUUGUAUUUCUGGAUAGGCUUUUGGGCCAUAGCAAUAUCUAAUAGAGCAAAAAUGUGCGUUUGUAUAAAGGAAGUUGAAGAGCUAUGGAAGCAGGUCUAUAUUGAGAUGCAUUUCUUUGGCGCAAUACUAGACAACAUUGACAGUUGAAGUUUUUAGAAUAAAAAAUAUAUUUCACUAACAUUGGAUACAUUUAUUUUUUAUUAUUUGGUGAUGAUAAAAUUUGAUUGUAGUAUAAACUAUCAUGUAAUAUGAUUUUGUAAGCCGAGUAGACUAAAUACUGAAAUUAUAUUUUUGAGUAAUUAAUAAAAAAUUAUUUUGUUGUA